rnacentral:rRNA from 1 species
UACUUAUUAAAGAUUAAUAGAAACAAUUUUUAUAAAAUUACAUCAAUGGAAAUACUAAGAAGUUAAAAGGUUAAUAUAUUUUACCUUUAGUAUAAUGGUUAUACAAUAAUUAUAUUGAAUAAUAAUUCCCGAAACGAGAAGAGCUAUCUAGCAGCCUUUUUUAGAUGUCAAAAAAGCUAUGUUGAAUUAUGGCUAAUAGACUGUUAGCUAGGAGCUAAAAACUUUCAAUUCUCGAGAUACCUGGUAACCCUACAAAAGCAUUUAGUGCUGUCAAAGUGAAAUACAAAGUGAUGAGAUUUUGUAUAAUUAGAAUUAAAAGACUUUAUUUUAUUUUUUAGAGUUAAUCCUAAAGAAUUUUAAACUUCAAAUUAUUAAUUUUUGUUUUCAUCUAACUUAUAGAGGGCAUUCCCAAAAAACCUUUUUUGGGAUUUAUUAUGUAUAAAUGAGUAGGUGUAUAAGCUAUUUUUUAUUAUUUUGUGAAUAAUGAAAUGUUUUUAUAUUUUUUAAUUAAUUUAAAGGAAUUCGGCAAAUUUAAACUUCGACUGUUUAACAAAAACAUAGCCUUACGAGUAGAUGUAAGGUCAGACCUGCCCAAUGUGUAUAUCAUGAAUGGCCGCGGUACUUUGACCGUGCUAAGGUAGCGCAAUCAAUUGGCUUUUAAUUGGGGCCAUGUAUGAAUGGAGUAACGGGGUUUAGCUGUCUCUAAAUUAUUUUAUUGAAAUUACUAUUUAGGUGAGAAAGCCUGAGAUAAGAAAAAGGACGAGAAGACCCUUAGAGUUUUACUAAAAUCAAAUAACUAAUUUUUGGAGCAGUUUAGUUGGGGCAACAUAGGAGCAGAAUUAUUUAAUCUCCUGAAAAAACAAACCGAUAGUAAUAAAAAUGUGUAAACUACCUUAGGGAUAACAGCAUAAUUUUAUUAAUAAGUUUGUGACCUCGAUGUUGGACUAGGAAACUAAAGGGCUAGCCGCCUUUUAGGAAGGUUCUGUUCGAACUAUUAUUCCU